rnacentral:rRNA from 1 species
AGUGAACGCUGGCGGCAGGCCUAACACAUGCAAGUCGAACGGCAGCACAGUAAGAGCUUGCUCCUACGGGUGGCGAGUGGCGGACGGGUGACGAAUACAUCGCAAUCUUCUUUUUCUUGGAGGAUAACGUAGGGAAACUUCUGCUAAUACCGCAUAUGAUCUACGGGAUAAAGCAGUGGAGCUUGGGAGCUUUCGUGUCUCAAAGAGCCGGUGUCGGAUUAGCUAGUUGGCGGGGUAACGGCCCACCAAGGCGACGAUCCGUAGCUGACCUGAGAGAAUGAUCAGCCACACUGGAACUGAGACACGGUCCAGACUCCUACGGGAGGCAGCAGUAGGGAAUAUUGGGCAAUGGGCGAAAGCCUGAUGCAGCCACACCGCGUGAGUGAAGAAGGCCUUCGGAUUGUAAAGCCCUUUUAUUAGGAAAGAAAAGCAGCGGAUUAAUCCCCCGCUGUUCUGACGGUACCCAAAGAAUAAGCACCGGCUAACUUCGUG